UUACCGAGUUUACAACUCCCAAACCCAAUGUGAACGUUACCAAACUGUUGCCUCGGCGGGAUCUCUGCCCCGGGUGCGUCGCAGCCCCGGACCAAGGCGCCCGCCGGAGGACCAACCAAAACUCUUUUGUAUACCCCCUCGCGGGUUUUUUAUAUCUGAGCCAUCUCGGCGCCUCUCGUAGGCGUUUCGAAAAUGAAUCAAAACUUUCAACAACGGAUCUCUUGGUUCUGGCAUCGAUGAAGAACGCAGCGAAAUGCGAUAAGUAAUGUGAAUUGCAGAAUUCAGUGAAUCAUCGAAUCUUUGAACGCACAUUGCGCCCGCCAGUAUUCUGGCGGGCAUGCCUGUCCGAGCGUCAUUUCAACCCUCGAACCCCUCCGGGGGGUCGGCGUUGGGGAUCGGCCCUUUACGGGGCCGGCCCCGAAAUACAGUGGCGGUCUCGCCGCAGCCUCUCCUGCGCAGUAGUUUGCACACUCGCAUCGGGAGCGCGGCGCGUCCAUUGCCGUAAAACACCCAACUUUCUGAAAUGUUGACCUCGGAUCAGGUAGGAAUACCCGCUGAACUUAAGCAUAUCAAUAAGCGGAGGAAAAGAAACCAACAGGGAUUGCCCCAGUAACGGCGAGUGAAGCGGCAACAGCUCAAAUUUGAAAUCUGGCCCCUCGGGGUCCGAGUUGUAAUUUGUAGAGGAUGCUUUUGGUGAGGUGCCGCCCGAGUUCCCUGGAACGGGACGCCACAGAGGGUGAGAGCCCCGUCUGGCUGGCCACCGAGCCUCUGUAAAGCUCCUUCGACGAGUCGAGUAGUUUGGGAAUGCUGCUCAAAAUGGGAGGUAUAUGUCUUCUAAAGCUAAAUAUUGGCCAGAGACCGAUAGCGCACAAGUAGAGUGAUCGAAAGAUGAAAAGCACCUUGAAAAGAGGGUUAAAUAGUACGUGAAAUUGUUGAAAGGGAAGCGCUUGUGACCAGACUUGGGCGCGGCGGAUCAUCCGGGGUUCUCUCCGGUGCACUUCGCCGCGUCUAGGCCAGCAUCAGUUCGUCGCGGGGGAAAAAGGUUUCGGGAACGUGGCUCCUCCGGGAGUGUUAUAGCCCGUUGCAUAAUACCCUGCGGUGGACU
rnacentral:rRNA from 1 species